GUGGAAAAUUAUACUGUCAUUAGUAAACACAGGUCAAACCUAUCAUAUCAUAAAUCGGGUGGAAUUGCUGUCUAUGUACGUAACACUUUAAAAACCUAGUCCUAUUUCUGAGUUUUGGGGUAUUAUGUGGCUUAAUCGUCUUUUUCGUUUAUCCGUCGUGGAACAAUGUGGAGAGGAUUUUCAGGGAAAAAUCAUGUGAUAUUGAAACGACCUUAUACUAUUUAAGAAAAAAUAAAAGUAUAUUGGUCAAUAACUAUACCCAUUUGGUUGCUAUUACAAAUGCAUACCGAAAGCAAAACAUUGGUUGGACCCAAUCAUAUAUUACUCAUAAAUCAUAAAUUAAAUCAGAGUUCCGGGUGUGAAAACCGUCCAACCCAGGGGAGGAGCACUCUCAGAGUUCCGGGUGUGAAAAUCUUCAAACACAGUGGAGGAGCACUCUACGAGUUACGGGUGUGAAAACCGUCCAACCCAGGGGAGGAGCACUCUAAGAGUUCCACGAUCUUUGCCUAUAAAGGCUAAUGGAAAAAAUCUUUUCAUGAGAAAGACUCGAAGAAAAGGCAUGGUUAUGGAAAAAAAUAUAAAUUUUCACCUUUUUCAAAUUCUGUUUAACUCAAUUCACCUGUGUGUGCACAGGUGAAAUCUAGUGUACAUGAUACAAAUUGUGAUAUUGCUAACUAUAAAUAGUUAAUAUUUAAUUCAAAUUUAGAUGGAAAUCAUGUACAAUAUAAUUACAUGACAUCUUUUACUUAUGAUAUAUCUGUAGGGCUUAUAUGUAUGUUCAUGUACGUACAUUCAAAAAUAUAUACACCUGUACAUUACUUUAUUUUGAAAGUUUUAUUGACAAAGACAGUAGAGAAGGAUACAAAAGAUACAAGUACACACAUCUCAAAAUGUAACAGAUUGUCUCUUAAAGUAUAAUGUAGGCCGCCUAAGUCGCAUAUACUGUAUAUUACACAUAUGACUCGUUUACAAAUGUACCUUUACACUACUUGAAAAGGGAAGUUAAAGUCAGUGAAAAUGAGGUGAAAGAAAAGUGUUUGUGGUGGGGGGGGGGGGGGGGGUAGUUAUUUAUCAUUUACCUAAUAAAUCUGAUAAAUAUAACUAGUAUGUAAUAAUGAUAAGUCACAUAUUCUUUUGCAGUGUCUUUCAAACUCUGAGAAUCUACAGUUUUUAAGAAAAAUAUAUUUAUCUACAGAUAUUCUGUUUUUCAUUAUAUUUUCAUGUGCACUGAAUUUCAUUUUUGGAACUUCUUUAUAUCUACUUACAAAUAUGUAUUAUUUUAUUAUUAGAAUUAAAAGAUUAUGUACUUUAUACAAAUUUCUCUCUUUGUAUUUUGCAAAUAAAAUUGAGUUUUUGUAAACAGAUGACCUUGUUAAGUACUAUGAAAUAAACAUGCAAGCUGUUUAUGCAAACUGCGCAAUUAUUAAAAUGUCAAUAACUUUGUUAGAAAGUCCUUGGGAAAUUAUAUUUUGGAAAUUAUUUGCGCAGCAGUAUGAUAUCAUAUGUCCAGGUGUAGGACAGUAAUGUUAUGUUUGUCAUAUUUGCAGACUCUGUGGAGAUCUGAUUUUGUAUAAUUGUCACGAAGUACAUGUUUUCUGUUAACCUUUUAACCUAUACUCAUGUUUUGUAAUGAUGCGGGAGAUUGUAAGCCCGCAUCCCCCGACGCUGUGAUGGACAGUUUGACAGAUGUGAAUCUGAAUUUAGAAUUAAAAUAUUGUUUAGGAAUUUGCUCACUAUAUCUACACUCAUGACCAGCGCAGGUGGUCAUGAGUAACCGAAACUGUCUGUCCUAGCCGAAAGGGUAUAUAUAUGCAUGUCAAAUUGUUAGUAGAAGAGAUUUGACUAACGACUUGCUUUGAAAACCACUAUACGAUUCGAAUAAACUUGUGAAACUU
rnacentral:misc_RNA from 1 species